UGGGGAAUUUUGGACAAUGGGCGAAAGCCUGAUCCAGCCAUGCCGCGUGCGGGAAGAAGGCCUUCGGGUUGUAAACUGCUUUUGUACGGAGCGAAAAGGUCUGCCCUAAUACGGUGGGCUCAUGACGGUACCGUAAGAAUAAGCACCGGCUAACUACGUGCCAGCAGCCGCGGUAAUACGUAGGGUGCGAGCGUUAAUCGGAAUUACUGGGCGUAAAGCGUGCGCAGGCGGUUUUGUAAGACAGAGGUGAAAUCCCCGGGCUCAACCUGGGAAUUGCCUUUGUGACUGCAAGGCUUGAGUGCGGCAGAGGGGGAUGGAAUUCCGCGUGUAGCAGUGAAAUGCGUAGAUAUGCGGAGGAACACCGAUGGCGAAGGCAAUCCCCUGGACCUGUACUGACGCUCAUGCACGAAAGCGUGGGGAGCAAACA
rnacentral:rRNA from 1 species